GAGAGGAGCUUGCUCUUCUUGGAUGAGUUGCGAACGGGUGAGUAACGCGUAGGUAACCUGCCUUGUAGCGGGGGAUAACUAUUGGAAACGAUAGCUAAUACCGCAUAACAAUGGAUGACACAUGUCAUUUAUUUGAAAGGGGCAAUUGCUCCACUACAAGAUGGACCUGCGUUGUAUUAGCUAGUAGGUGAGGUAAUGGCUCACCUAGGCGACGAUACAUAGCCGACCUGAGAGGGUGAUCGGCCACACUGGGACUGAGACACGGCCCAGACUCCUACGGGAGGCAGCAGUAGGGAAUCUUCGGCAAUGGGGGCAACCCUGACCGAGCAACGCCGCGUGAGUGAAGAAGGUUUUCGGAUCGUAAAGCUCUGUUGUAAGUCAAGAACGGGUGUGAGAGUGGAAAGUUCACACUGUGACGGUAGCUUACCAGAAAGGGACGGCUAACUACGUGCCAGCAGCCGCGGUAAUACGUAGGUCCCGAGCGUUGUCCGGAUUUAUUGGGCGUAAAGCGAGCGCAGGCGGUUUGAUAAGUCUGAAGUUAAAGGCUGUGGCUCAACCAUAGUUCGCUUUGGAAACUGUCAAACUUGAGUGCAGAAGGGGAGAGUGGAAUUCCAUGUGUAGCGGUGAAAUGCGUAGAUAUAUGGAGGAACACCGGUGGCGAAAGCGGCUCUCUGGUCUGUAACUGACGCUGAGGCUCGAAAGCGUGGGGAGCGAACAGGAUUAGAUACCCUGGUAGUCCACGCCGUAAACGAUGAGUGCUAGGUGUUGGAUCCUUUCCGGGAUUCAGUGCCGCAGCUAACGCAUUAAGCACUCCGCCUGGGGAGUACGACCGCAAGGUUGAAACUCAAAGGAAUUGACGGGGGCCCGCACAAGCGGUGGAGCAUGUGGUUUAAUUCGAAGCAACGCGAAGAACCUUACCAGGUCUUGACAUCCCGAUGCUAUUUCUAGAGAUAGAAAGUUACUUCGGUACAUCGGUGACAGGUGGUGCAUGGUUGUCGUCAGCUCGUGUCGUGAGAUGUUGGGUUAAGUCCCGCAACGAGCGCAACCCCUAUUGUUAGUUGCCAUCAUUCAGUUGGGCACUCUAGCGAGACUGCCGGUAAUAAACCGGAGGAAGGUGGGGAUGACGUCAAAUCAUCAUGCCCCUUAUGACCUGGGCUACACACGUGCUACAAUGGUUGGUACAACGAGUUGCGAGUCGGUGACGGCGAGCUAAUCUCUUAAAGCCAAUCUCAGUUCGGAUUGUAGGCUGCAACUCGCCUACAUGAAGUCGGAAUCGCUAGUAAUCGCGGAUCAGCACGCCGCGGUGAAUACGUUCCCGGGCCUUGUACACACCGCCCGUCACACCACGAGAGUUUGUAACACCCGAAGUCGGUGAGGUAA
rnacentral:rRNA from 1 species